GACGAACGCUGGCGGCGUGCCUAAUACAUGCAAGUUGAGCGCUGAAGGUUGGUACUUGUACCAACUGGAUGAGCAGCGAACGGGUGAGUAACGCGUGGGGAAUCUGCCUUUGAGCGGGGGACAACAUUUGGAAACGAAUGCUAAUACCGCAUAAAAACUUUAAACACAAGUUUUAAGUUUGAAAGAUGCAAUUGCAUCACUCAAAGAUGAUCCCGCGUUGUAUUAGCUAGUUGGUGAGGUAAAGGCUCACCAAGGCGAUGAUACAUAGCCGACCUGAGAGGGUGAUCGGCCACAUUGGGACUGAGACACGGCCCAAACUCCUACGGGAGGCAGCAGUAGGGAAUCUUCGGCAAUGGACGAAAGUCUGACCGAGCAAACGCCCGCGUGAGUGAAGAAAGGUUUUUCGGA
rnacentral:rRNA from 1 species